rnacentral:pre_miRNA from 11 species
UCCCUUUAUUCAGAGCUGGAGCGGAGGCAAGAUGUUGGCAUAGCUGAUGAGUUAAGAACCUGCUAUGCCAACAUAUUGCCCUCUUUCCUGUCUGCUGGCCACAAA